GUUGCGAUGAACUGGGGAUUGAGCAGCCCCGGCUCGCCUCCGAGGUUCCCGAGCCGGGCGGGAGAUGCGGGGAGAGGGAGGGGGCGGGGAGGGGAGGGGAGGGAGAGAGGAAGAAGGGGUGAGAGGGAGAAACCUGCCGCCGCUCGCCGCCUCUUUGUCUGCUCCGGGACUUGGAACAAAAGGGGGAACUCUGAUGAACUCUCUCUCCUCCCCUCUCCCCCGGACGCCCGCCCGGGUAUCUCCCUCUCCCAACUUUGCCGCCGCGACUUUCUCCGCUGUCAGGCCACACAAAAGUGUCCGAGCGCCUCGCAGACUGCAACGAGGGGCAUGUCUCUUAAAAGUGCGACGAAGUGGAGAAGAAGGUAUAAUUAUUAUUAUCAGCAUCUAGAAAGCGUCGUGCGGUGCGUUGACCUUCGCCAUACUGCAUUGUUCUUACUGGAUCUUUCUAUCAGUGAACAUUAUGGAAGUACCAGUGCAACAUCAAGUCAUUCCUGGAUGAAAAGUUAUCAGACUUGUUCUUUUGGAGUUACUUAAAAGUUAAAAUGUCAGGAUUUUUGAUGAUGCCUUCUCUAAAUGGAUUACUACAAUUUGAUCACUGGGAAUUCUCCGCCUUAAAGAAGGUAAAAUCAUCUGUUGGAGUUAUUCCAUUAUCCUCAUCCUGUGGAGAUCUUGAUUUGGAAAUUCUUGACAAAAUCUACAGUGUCUGACUUACUAUCAAUGUUACCAACUGAAGGAUCUGCAUUGACUGCUCCAGCAGUGGCUAACUUGAUGUCCUCUGCAAAUUUAAAAAGUGUGCCACCUUUUCCAUCAUUGGGUCAUCCCUGAGGUCAUCAUGGACCAUCCUUCUCAACUGUCCAUGAUCCGUGGGUAGCUGUUCUCUGUUGUCUGUUUCACCAGAUGUCCUCAAAACUAACAGACAGAAAAGGGAAAUGGCUAAUGAAGCAUCUUGCAAGCAGAUUCUGUGUCAUAUGCUUCGCAUUGUACUCGCCCCAAGCAGUCAACUCUGCUGGGUUGAGUGCCCCUGUUGGUCUAUCAUGGAGGGCGAGGAGAGCCUACAGGCGCAUGCGCCCAUCUCUGUAACUUGCUGUUCCUUGUGUCAUAUCAAGUGGAAGUGCGAAGCACCACAAACUGCUUUGAGCAGAGCCCACUUCCCUUCACCCACAGAGAACGUGAAGCAGUUAUACCAACAUCAAUCAAGGAAAACCCACAGGCUGAACUCACACCGUUGAAGCAGGUGAGGAAAUUGAAGAUUUGUCCAAGAGCAGACAGCUGAUGAGAGAGAGAAAGCAGAAAGAGAACAGCUUACAGCUCAAGUCCUCUUUCUAUGCUCUGGAACCACCAUAAAUGCUACUCGCUUGGACCUCGUUUUGUUUCUUUCUGGAACUCUGUACUCUGUUUGCAAUGGUAUGGUUGGUUGUUAGGACCGCUUAUGUGUAUUUUUUUUUAAUUUAAAGAAAUAUUGCUGCAAAGCUUUUCCAGGAUGUAUUUAAAAAGGAGGUAUUCUCUGGUUAUCUAGCAUUCAACUGAUUCUUUCAAUUUGGUUGGUUUAGUCAAAGUUUGAGUAGAAGAGUCUGUCUAGGUAAUGGUUUUUGAGGACACUUGGGCAAAACGAAAAAAAAUAGCCUAUGGAAAACUCAUUCUGAUCAUUUCAUACCUAGGAAAAAUGCAGAGAACAAUAAAAAUGAGUCAAUAUUUUAUAAAUUCAAGGCCAGUAUUCUAUGUCAAUGUCAAUGGUGUAUGAGUUCCAAAGGAUUUGUGUCACUAUUAAAUUACAAAUGAUUUGCUCUUAUUUGAUGUGUAGUAGAUUUAGCUGUAUAAUGGAUGGAAACAAACAGAAUACAAAGGAUAGAGAGCAAACAUAUUUUGUAAGGCAAUUGCAAGCCUCUUAUGAGCUUCAGUACAAAGGAAUAGAGACCAUCUCAUCUCUUUGCUAUUCAUUCAUCUUUAGCAUUAGUGAACUCAUGGCUUGUAUUCUUGACCUUGACCUAGAGCCCUGAAGCGCUUCCUGUCUUUGCCCUGCUUCAGCAGGUACAUUUCAGGAGAGUGAGCGUGUAUUACCUAUCUGUAACCCAGAUCUCAGGUAGAUGGGUGCUAUUAGAACUGGGAGAGAGCUGUCAUUUGAUGUUCAAGGAUUUCCCACUUUUGUAUAUGUUUGCAUACUGUAUGUUACCUUUCAUUUUAAGCUUUUUAUUCUCACUAUUCAAGCUAGUUGAAUUUGUUGAGCUAUUGUUCAUAAUUGUAGAAAUAGAUCUGUAGAGCUUUCUUCAAUGACCAUUUUCACUGCUAAUGUAUUUUGUAACCAGCCAGGUUUAUGGAAAACCCAGUUUUCAUGUUUUUCUGAGAGGUACACGUCAAAGAAGGUUUUUCAUUCCUUGCUUAGCAAUUUUUAGUUUCCACCAGAGUUCAGUGGACCAUACAGUAUGUAUGGACCAAACAUCCCACCAGUUACACAACUUACUCUUACUAUUUAAGCAGCUUCUUUUAGGGGAUUGAGAGAGCAUGUUGGCCCUUUUAUAUAACUUAUUUUCGAAGUCAGAUCAAAUUCGCCAUUAGGGUGUUGUGAAUUCACAUCUUAAAUUCUUUUGGAAUUCUUUUUAUAUUCAUGUUUUUAGAGUCGUCACGCCAAGCAGAAUUUUUCCAGGCCAUCUCUACUGAUCACCACUGAUGAAAGAGGGUGAGAUGAGCAAACCCAUGUUUUUUGUUUGUUUUUUCCACUUUUAUUGAGAAAUUAUUGACAUACAUCACUGUAUAAGUUAAGCAUAUAGCAUGAUGGUUUGAUUUACAUAUAUUGUGAAAUGAUUACCACAAUGGAUUCAGCUAACGCUCAUCGUCUCAUAUAGAUACAAUAAAAUGAAAAGAAAGUU